AUUGAACGCUGGCGGCAGGCUUAACACAUGCAAGUCGAGCGGUAACAGAGAGAAGCUUGCUUCUCUGCUGACGAGCGGCGGACGGGUGAGUAAUGCCUAGGAAUCUGCCUAGUAGUGGGGGAUAACUUGCCGAAAGGUAAGCUAAUACCGCAUACGUCCUACUGGAGAAAGGAGGGGACCUUCGGGCCUUUCGCUAUUAGAUGAGCCUAGGUCGGAUUAGUUAGUUGGUGAGGUAAUGGCUCACCAAGACCGCGAUCCGUAACUGGUCUGAGAGGAUGAUCAGUCACACUGGAACUGGGACACGGUCCAGACUCCUACGGGAGGCAGCAGUGGGGAAUAUUGGACAAUGGGGGGGAACCCUGAUCCAGCCAUGCCGCGUGUGUGAAGAAGGUCUUAGGAUUGUGAAGCACUUUAAGUUGGGAGGAAGAGCAGUUAACUAAUAUUUGACUGUUUUGACGUUACCGACAGAAUAAGCACCGGCUAACUUCGUG
rnacentral:rRNA from 1 species